rnacentral:rRNA from 1 species
UACGUAGGGUGCAAGCGUUAAUCGGAAUUACUGGGCGUAAAGCGUGCGCAGGCGGUUUUGUAAGUCAGAUGUGAAAUCCCCGGGCUUAACCUGGGAACUGCGUUUGAAACUACAAGGCUAGAGUGUGGCAGAGGGGGGUGGAAUUCCACGUGUAGCAGUGAAAUGCGUAGAUAUGCGGAGGAACACCGAUGGCGAAGGCAAUCCCCUGGACCUGUACUGACGCUCAUGCACGAAAGCGUGGGGAGCAAACAGG